GUAGGUGGCAAGUGUUGUCCGGAAUUAUUGGGCGUAAAGCGCGCGCAGGUGGUUCUUUAAGUCUGAUGUGAAAGCCCCCGGCUCAACCGGGGAGGGUCAUUGGAAACUGGGGAACUUGAGUGCAGGAGAGGAAAGUGGAAUUCCACGUGUAGCGGUGAAAUGCGUAGAUAUGUGGAGGAACACCAGUGGCGAAGGCGACUUUCUGGCCUGUAACUGACACUGAGGCGCGAAAGCGUGGGGAGCAAACAGGGAUUAGAUACCCUGGUAGUCCACGCCGUAAACGAUGAGUGCUAAGUGUUGGGGGGGUUUCCCGCCCCUCAGUGCUGCAGCUAACGCAUUAAGCACUCCGCCUGGGGAUACGGUCGCAAGACUG
rnacentral:rRNA from 1 species